rnacentral:rRNA from 1 species
CACAUGCAGUCGACGAACUCUUCGGAGUUAGUGGCGGACGGGUGAGUAACACGUGGGAACGUGCCUUUAGGUUCGGAAUAACUCAGGGAAACUUGUGCUAAUACCGAAUGUGCCCUUCGGGGGAAAGAUUUAUCGCCUUUAGAGCGGCCCGCGUCUGAUUAGCUAGUUGGUGAGGUAAAGGCUCACCAAGGCGACGAUCAGUAGCUGGUCUGAGAGGAUGAUCAGCCACAUUGGGACUGAGACACGGCCCAAACUCCUACGGGAGGCAGCAGUGGGGAAUCUUGCGCAAUGGGCGAAAGCCUGACGCAGCCAUGCCGCGUGAAUGAUGAAGGUCUUAGGAUUGUAAAAUUCUUUCACCGGGGACGAUAAUGACGGUACCCGGAGAAGAAGCCCCG